AGUACACCUAUCAUGAGCUAACUCCUGUUGAUCCAAAAUGUUCUGAUCCACUUACAAGAGCUAUUCGAUGUUGCACUGACUACUUAACAAGUGGAGGAAAAUGUUACCCUUGUAUAGACUCAUUCGGAAUCGAGUGCAGCAAAUUAUGUCCUGAGGGAUACCAUGGUGUCAGAUGUCAGGAAAAAUGCCCUUGUAAUACAACACAAACCAAUGUUGGAUGUAAUA